CGCUGGCGGCACGCCUUAUACAUGCAAGUCGAACGAAGUAGCAAUACUUAGUGGCAGACGGGUGAGUAACAUGUAGGUAUCUUCCCUUUGGUGAGGAAUAACACGAGGAAACUUGUGCUAAUACCUCAUAAGUCUUUACGGAGAAAGCUUUAUGCGCCGAAGGAUGAGCCUGCACUUGAUUAGUUUGUUGGUGGGGUAAUGGCCUACCAAGACUUUGAUCUAUAGCUGAUCUGAGAGGAUGAUCAGCCACAUUGGGACUGAGACACGGCCCAAACUCCUACGGGAGGCAGCAGUAGGGAAUAUUGCACAAUGGAGGAAACUCUGAUGCAGCGAUGCCGCGUGAGUGAAGAAGGCCUUUGGGUUGUAAAGCUCUUUCGUCGGGGAAGAAAAUGACUGUACCCGAAUAAGAAGGUCCGGCUAACUUCGUGCCAGCAGCCGCGGUAAUACGAAGGGACCUAGCGUAGUUCGGAAUUACUGGGCUUAAAGAGUUCGUAGGUGGUUAAAAAAGUUGGUGGUGAAAUCCCAGAGCUUAACUCUGGAACUGCCAUCAAAACUUUUUAGCUAGAGUAUGAUAGAGGAAAGCAGAAUUUCUAGUGUAGAGGUGAAAUUCGUAGAUAUUAGAAAGAAUACCAAUUGCGAAGGCAGCUUUCUGGAUCAUUACUGACGCUGAGGAACGAAAGCAUGGGUAGCGAAGAGGAUUAGAUACCCUCGUAGUCCAUGCCGUAAACGAUGUGUGUUAGACGUUGGAAAUUUAUUUUCAGUGUCGCAGCGAAAGCGUUAAACACACCGCCUGGGGAGUACGACC
rnacentral:rRNA from 1 species